rnacentral:tRNA from 1 species
GCUCCCAUGGCGUAGUGGCUACUGCACUCGAUUUGCACGCGGGAGACCCGGAUUCGAUUCCCGGUGGGGUCA